CGCCCUGUUUUUACAAAAACAUAGUUUAAGGAAAUAAUCUUAAAUGAAUUCUGCCCAGUGAUUUUUUUUUAAAUGGCCGCAGUACCUUGACUGUGCUAAGGUAGCAUAAUCAAUUGGCUUCUAAUUAAAGUCUGGAAUGAAAGGAAAUAUGAAGUAAUUCUAUCUUAAAGGAUUUUUUUUGAAUUUAUUUAAAUGAUGAAAAUAUCAUUUUAUAGAAAAAAGACGAGAAGACCCUUAGAGUUUUGAUAUUUAUAUAUUUUUGUUGGGGCGACAGGUAAACAUAUAACUUUACGAAUUAUCAUUGAUCGAUUUUUUAUAAGAAUAAUAAAACUACCUUAGGGAUAACAGCAUUAUAUUUUUUUUUAUGAUUGUGACCUCGAUGUUGGACUAGGAACUUUAUGGCUAGCCGUCAAAAAAGAUUCUCGCUAA
rnacentral:rRNA from 1 species